rnacentral:rRNA from 1 species
UACGGAGGGUGCAAGCGUUGCUCGGAAUUAUUGGGCGUAAAGCGUGCGCAGGCGGUUUCUUAAGUCAGAUGUGAAAUCCCCGGGCUCAACCUGGGAACUGCAUUUGUGACUGCACAGCUGGAGUGCGGCAGAGGGGGAUGGAAUUCCGCGUGUAGCAGUGAAAUGCGUAGAUAUGCGGAGGAACACCGAUGGCGAAGGCAAUCCCCUGGGCCUGCACUGACGCUCAUGCACGAAAGCGUGGGGAGCAAACAGG